rnacentral:rRNA from 1 species
UACGGAGGGUGCAAGCGUUAUCCGGAUUCACUGGGUUUAAAGGGUGCGUAGGCGGGCUUGUAAGUCAGUGGUGAAAGCCCGGAGCUUAACUCCGGAAUUGCCGUUGAUACUGCAAGUCUUGAGUACAGUUGAGGUGGGCGGAAUACAUCAUGUAGUAGUGAAAUACUUAGAUAUGAUGUAGAACACCGAUUGCGAAGGCAGCUCACUAAAGUGUAACUGACGCUGAGACGCGAAAGCGUGGGGAGCAAACAGG